GACGAACGCUGGCGGCGUGCUUAACACAUGCAAGUCGAACGGAAAGGCCCUGCUUUUGUGGGGUGCACGAGUGGCGAACGGGUGAGUAACACGUGAGUAACCUGCCCUUGACUUUGGGGUAAAUUCUGGAAACUGGGGCUCAUACCGCAUAGGAUCUCCUGCUGCAUGGGGGGGGUAGGAAAGAUUCGGCGGUUGGGGAUGGACUCGAGGCUUAUCCGCUUGUUGGUGGGGUUGUGGCUGACCAAGGCUUUGACGGGUAGCCGGCCUGAGAGGGUGACCGGCCACAUUGGGACUAAGAUACGGCCCAGACUCCUACGGUAGGCAGCAGUGGGGAAUAUUGCACAACGGGCGGAAGCCUGAUGCAGCAACGCCGCGUGCGUGAAGACGGCCUUCGGGUUGUAAACCGCUUUCGCCUGUGACGAAGCGUGAGUGACGGUAAUGGGUAAAGAAGCACCGGCUAACUACGUG
rnacentral:rRNA from 1 species